rnacentral:rRNA from 1 species
CCUACGGGAGGCAGCAGGAGGGAAUGUUGCGCAAUGGGCGAAAGCCUGACGCAGCAACGCCGCGUGAGAGAGACGCACUUCGGGGUGUAAAGAUCUGUCAGUGGGGACGAAACUUGACGGUAACCACAGAGGAAGCACCGGCUAACUCCGUGCCAGCAGCCGCGGUAAUACGGGGGGUGCAAGCGUUGUCCGGAAUCAUUGGGCGUAAAGAGUUCGUAGGCGGCACGUAAAGUCUGGUGUUAAAGGCAGAGACUCAACUUCUUUACGGCACUGGUUAAGUGCGAUCUAGAAUGCGUUAGAGGUAAAGGGAAUUCCUGGUGUAGCGGUGAAAUGCUUAGAUAUCAGGAGGAACAUCGGUGGCGUAAGCGCUUUACUGGGCCGUAAUUGACGCUGAGGAACGAAAGCCAGGGUAGCAAAUGGGAUUAGAUACCCUGGUAGUC